AACUUACCGAAAGGUGAGCUAAUGCCGGAUGAGUUAUAUAAGUGCAUGUUUAUAUAGGAAAAGUUGGGGAGACCUGACGCUGAAAGAUGGACUCGCGUCCCAUUAGCUAGUUGGUAGGGUAAUGGCCUACCAAGGCGACGAUGGGUAGCCGGCCUGAGAGGGUGGCCGGCCACACUGGGACUGAGACACGGCCCAGACUCCUACGGGAGGCAGCAGUGGGGAAUUUUGCGCAAUGCUCGUAAGAGUGACGCAGCGACGCCGCGUGAAUGACGAAGGCCUUCGGGUCGUAAAGUUCUUUCGACAGGGAAGAAAAUGCCUAUAAGUAACUGUGUAUGUAUUGACGGUACUUGUAUAAGCAGCCCCGGCUAACUCCGUGCCAGCAGCCGCGGUAAUACGGAGGGGGCGAGCGUUGUUCGGAGUGACUGGGCGUAAAGAGCACGUAGGCGGUGUUGUAAGUCAUUAGUCAAAGACUAGAGCUCAACUUUAGUAAGGCUAGUGAUACUAUAAUACUAGAGUAUCAGAGAGGAUUGCAGAAUUCCUGGUGUAGCGGUGAAAUGCGUAGAUAUCAGGAGGAAUACCGUUAGCGAAGGCGGCAAUCUGGCUGGAAACUGACGCUGAGGUGCGAAAGCGUGGGUAGCAAACAGGAUUAGAUACCCUGGUAGUCCACGCUGUAAACGAUGGAUGCUAGGUGU
rnacentral:rRNA from 1 species